GCUUAACACAUGCAAGUCGAGCGAGAAUCGUUUAUUGAAGGCUUCGGCUGGAAAUAGAUGAGGAAAGCGGCGAACGGGUGAGUAACGCGUGGGCAACCUGGCCUUAAGAAAAGGAUAGCCCCCGGAAACGGGGAGUAAUACUUUAUGAGAAUGAGAGAGGGCAUCCUACUUUCAUUCAAAGCCAAAGGACUAAAGGAUGGGCCCGCGUAUCAUUAGCUAGUUGGUGAAAUAACAGCCCACCAAGGCAACGAUGAUUAGCCGGUCUGAGAGGGCGAACGGCCACAUUGGAACUGAGAGACGGUCCAAACUCCUACGGGAGGCAGCAGUGGGGAAUAUUGCGCAAUGGAGAAGAACUCUGACGCAGCAAUACCGCGUGAGCGAAGAAGGUCUUCGGAUCGUAAAGCUCUGUUAUCAGGGAAGAAGAAAAUGACGGUACCUGAUGAGCAAGUCCCGGCUAACUACGUGCCAGCCGCCGCCGUAA
rnacentral:rRNA from 1 species